rnacentral:rRNA from 1 species
UCCCGACGCUCCAAGUCGCAGCCACAAUUAUUGUGUCUAAAACAUUCGUAGCUUGUUUGUUAAGUUCUUUGUGAAAUCUUAAAUCUUAAAUUUAAGGCGUGCAAAGAAUACUGGCAAACUUGGGACCGGAAGAAGCAAGAAGUAUGCUCAAGGUAGUAGUAAAAUAUGUUAAUCUCGAGCAGACUAACAACAGCGAAGGCAUCUUGCUAGUACGGAUCUGACAGUGAGGAAUGAAGGCUAGGGUCGCGAAAGG